rnacentral:rRNA from 1 species
AGAGUUUGAUCAUGGCUCAGAAUCAACGCUGGCGGCGCGCUUAACACAUGCAAGUCGCACGAGAAAGUGGAGCAAUCCAUGAGUACAGUGGCGUACGGGUGAGUAACACGUGGAUCAUCUACCUCUUAGUGGGGAAUAACCCUGGGAAACCGGGGCUAAUACCGCAUAAGCUCGAGAGAGGAAAGCAGCAAUGCGCUGAGAGAGGAGUCCGCGGCCGAUUAGCUAGUUGGCAGGGUAAACGCCUACCAAGGCAAAGAUCGGUAGCCGGCCUGAGAGGGCACACGGCCACACUGGCACUGAAACACGGGCCAGACUCCUACGGGAGGCAGCAGUGGGGAAUCUUGCACAAUGGGGGAAACCCUGAUGCAGCGACGCCGCGUGAGCGAUGAAGCCCUUCGGGGUGUAAAGCUCUUUCGGCAGGGACGAUCAUGACGGUACCUGCAGAAGCAGCUGCGGCUAACUACGUGCCAGCAGCCGCGGUAAUACGUAGGCAGCGAGCGUUGUUCGGAGUUACUGGGCGUAAAGGGUGUGUAGGCGGUUGCUUAAGUUUGGUGUGAAAUCUCCCGGCUCAACUGGGAGGGUGCGCCGAAUACUGAGUGACUCGAGUGCGGGAGAGGAGAGUGGAAUUCCUGGUGUAGCGGUGAAAUGCGUAGAUAUCAGGAGGAACACCGGCGGUGUAGACGGCUCUCUGGACCGUAACUGACGCUGAGACACGAAAGCGUGGGUAGCAAACAGGAUUAGAUACCCUGGUAGUCCACGCCCUAAACGAUGCAUAUUUGGUGUGGGUCAUUCAGUUGAUCCGUGCCGGAGCUAACGCGUUAAAUAUGCCGCCUGGGGAGUACAGUCGCAAGGCUGAAACUCAAAGGAAUUGACGGGGCCCGCACAAGCGGUGGAGCAUGUGGUUCAAUUCGACGCAACGCGAAGAACCUUACCUGGGCUCGAACGGCUGGGUACCCGCG